rnacentral:rRNA from 1 species
UACAGAGGUCCCGAGCGUUGUUCGGAUUCACUGGGCGUAAAGGGUGCGUAGGUGGUUGGGUAAGUCUGAUGUGAAAUCUCCGGGCUCAACCCGGAAAUGGCAUUGGAUGCUAUCUGGCUAGAGGUUUGGAGGGGGUAGCGGAAUUCCUGGUGUAGCGGUGAAAUGCGUAGAUAUCAGGAGGAACACCAAUGGCGAAGGCAGCUCUCUGGGACGGUACUGACGCUGAGACGCGAAAGCGUGGGGAGCAAACAGG